AAAAAGGGAAGUAGGUAAAUAAAUACUUUUGAUUGAUUAUAAACUUGACUAGCCAUGUUACAAUAUUGUUUCAUAAGGCAUCAUAGAGUUAGGACAAUUAUAUGGUGCUGAUUUCCUUAGAGGUUCUUGUUUGUUGGGCUUGAAAAAUGAAAGAUAUAAGGAGAUGAAUUUAGUUGUUUGUUGUGCUUGAAGGCAUUUGUUUUGCCAAAGUGGAUUUUUACUGUGAUUUGUUCUAAAUAAUAAAAGAAAAAUGAAGAGGUUAAAUUGAUAUUCGGAUUAGCCUGCUCUUAGUUUCAUUGUGUCCGAAGUUGCAAAUGAUCUUGGAACCUGGAACACUCACUCUUUGUAAUGAGAUUUUCAGUUUGUGAUUUGGAGUCUGGCCACUCUUUCACAAUAUUUUAUGCUGUAGUUUUGUUUGAGUCUCAAAGUUGGUGAUUUGUUAAUGUCAAUCUUGAUCUAUUUCAGUGCAAAGUAAAAAAGAUUGUCUGUUUGCUAUUUUGAGGUCAUUCAUGGAUCCUGUCAGAACAUCAGCAUUAAACUAUUGAAGAAUAUGAACUUUAAUGCCUUCUCUUCAUCUUUGGUAAUCAAACUUUGAGUUGCUCCUUUGGGAAGUCAUUGGUCAUGAAUUUUCAUUUAGAUUGUAUUCAAACUGCUAAAAAGUAAAUAAUUGGCUGAAAUAGUUUCAGUGUUUAGAAUUAUGUGGUAAUUGAGGGAAGUGAAUAUGACAUUAACAAAUCACCAACCCCCAAUGCAACUCUCAAUGAGAUAAAAGGAAGAAAGUGGAUAUAAAAGUUUCAAAAAUAAUUCUCUCAGAAAGGUGCAGUGUGGAAUGUGGUAUUUAUUUGAGAUAAAAGGAAGAGUUACUAUGUGAUCAUCUCAAAACGGCCACCACA
rnacentral:misc_RNA from 1 species